rnacentral:lncRNA from 1 species
GUUUUCUUUUCAGCUAGCUUGAGAGUUCUAGCAGUUUGUGGUGUCACUCAUCUUUGAUCCUGGACAUGCAAGUGUUUGAGCUGAGAGGGAAUUAAAUUGAAAAAUGAAUUCAUUAGGUGGUUUAUACUUUAUUCCAGAAACAUAAUAAAUUAUCAGUAAUAGAAGCAAAGGAUAUUGCCAGAUUGUUGUUCUGGGGUGGUAGGGAUCGAACUCGGGAGUGCUUUACCACUGAUUUAUAUCCCCUAUCCUCUUUAUUUUGAGACAGGAUCUUGAUAUAUUGCCAAGGCUUGUCUAAAACUUUGAGAUUCUCCUGCUUCAACUUCCUUGGUUGUGGGAUUACAGGUGUUUACCAUCACCCCUGACUGAGGAUUUUCUUUUUUUGUAUUAGGGAUUGAAUACAGGGGCACUUGCCCACUGAGCCACAUCCCCAGCCCUAUUUUGUAUUUAAUUUAGAGACAGGGUCUCACUGAGUUGCUUAGUGCCUUGCUUUUGCUGAGGCUGGCUUUGAACUCAUGAUCCUCCUGUCUCAGCCUCCCAAACUGCUAGGAUUACAGGUGUGCACCACUGCCACCGUACUCGACUGCAGAUUGUUUUUAUCUGAAACUUAGGCCUCUCUUUACUCUCCUGCUGUCUCUUCAUGACUUUUUUCCUUCUUACCACGGUUAAAAGGAGCUUCUUUGAACAUAUCAUCCAAUUGAUGAGGCGGCUUGCAUAAUGGCUACAUGUUUAUGGAUUUAUGUCCUUCUUGUCUCCCUCUGCCCCUUAAGCAUGUAUGGGUUAUAUUUAUCUUUGGUUCUUCCCUUCACAGUGCCAGUUUUCUUGGAACUGUAAACAUUUUUUAGUAUGGUCAACAGACAGGGAAGAAAAAAAAUCCACAUUUGAUAUUUUGGAAGAAAUAAUCUUGCAGGAUUAAGCCCUUAGAUUACCUAGUGUUGCCUAUUGAAUUGUCUGAGAAGGAGUGCCAAUUAGAAACUUGAAUUUUGGGUAGAGCCUUUAUGAAUGAAUGAAUGUCUCAAAUUCUUCCCAGGAGUGCUCACUGCCCCCCCCCCCCCAAUUGACUUGAGCAUUCUCAAACUUUUCAUAGCAUUUCAAGCAGUUUUCAGUAAAUCAAUUCAAAUCCACAGCUGUUGUUUGGAAAUUUCCUUAAGUUACUGUGAUUCUCAGGAGACACCCAGAAACUCUCCCUAAUUAAUGUACUUAAUCAUACCUUAUAUAAGUCAGACAGGCAAACCCGAUGGAUAAACUAAACUACUCAUGGAAUAGUCAACAGUUCUUGGCCCCAGCAUUUAAUUUUACAAACCCAGAACAACAAUACUUGACAGGCUAUUUUUGGGUAUAGUUUUUGCUUGUCUGAUCUCAAAUUUUCUUGUGUAGCCACUGACUGUUCAUUUCAAAUGGAAAUAGGGGUUGUGGAUAAUGUUAGACUACCACAGAGCUCAGUUUACCCAGUGACUUGGGGAGCAAUGAUUAGGGUUAGGUUAAGGGGAUGGAGAGAAUAGCAGCAUUAGUGACUGCUGACCUGACCUCUGGCCCUUAUGCUGCAUGUCCCUAAAUUGUGCAUGUUAUAGUUUUUCAAUGUUCUUAUUGACGAGCUAAGAAAUUUGUGGCAAACUGGUUAGAGACAGUAUGGUUCAGUGGUAUAAGUAAAUAAGUGGUGGGGAAUAAAAUGCCCCAGAAACAUUUGAUAACAUUUUGUUGGUAAUGAAGUCUGAAAAAAGGAUUGGGGAUAUAUGUAGGUCAAUAGUAGAGCCCUUGUAUAGAAGAACAAGGCCCUGAGUUCAGUUCCCAUACCUGCAAAGACAAAAAAC